rnacentral:rRNA from 1 species
CCUACGGGAGGCAGCAGUGGGGAAUUUUGGACAAUGGGCGCAAGCCUGAUCCAGCCAUGCCGCGUGUCUGAAGAAGGCCUUCGGGUUGUAAAGGACUUUUGUUAGGGAGCAAGUCCUGCAGGUUAAGAGCCAGUAGGGAUGAGAGUACCUAAAGAAUAAGCACCGGCUAACUACGUGCCAGCAGCCGCGGU